UGGAGAGCUCUGGGCUUCCCCACGGCACGGCUGUUCCCCUCAGCCCUGCCCGCACUGGGACCCCCUCUGAGCGCUUCGGCACCUUUUGUGUCUUUAGUCGGGAAUGUCCUUUUUUUGCUUAGGAGCAGCCAGGUCCCCAGAGAACAGGAGGAGGAGCAGGAGGAGUGCCCCCUCUCUGGGCCCAUGGAUAGGGAGGCUGCAGCUUUGGAACAGGAAGGAGGAGAGGGAGGGCAGGGCAGGCUGACCAGGAAGAGUAGAGGUGGAGGUGAGGUUUGAAAAAACUCCUCUCCUCUCCUCUGUGCGCUUCCCGGGUUCCCAGGGCUCUGGCUGAGGCUGCCCAUGUUCUCACCCGCCUCCCCCACCCCCGGCUGCUCAGCACCGUCUUCUUCCUGCCUCCAGCGAUGUCCGGAUCUCUUUCUACCUCCUUCUUACUAACUCUCAGCACAUCCUCAGCCUUGAAACACCCACGCUCCUACAAACACCUCCUGCAUGCCUUUCCUUUACAAACGGAAUAACACAGUUGAGAGAAAGCUACGUACGGACUUCCUAACUCAAAACCAGCAAAGCCUGGGAGGGCACCUUGGAAAAAGAAAACACAGCAGAGGAGAGAGGAGAGAGAAGAAAGAUGCAGGAACCUCUUGGAUGCACACCCACCAACCAUUCUCCACCCCUGCUUCCUGUCCUCCCAGAGAGGCCAAAAUGACCAGACAUGCACCUCCCCAUCCUCCUUUGCAACAAAAGUAGGGGCAUAUGCUCCAAUUCUGACCAACGGGACCAAUGAGAGGAGGAGUUUGUUGGUGUCUCCUUUCCUAAGAAAAGGAGAUGCAUAGGUGGAAAUGCUCCUCAUCUCCAGCCAGAUGUUGUCAUGUCUACAGGUGAUGUUGGAACUGUGGCAGCCUUCUUGUGACCAUAGGGACAAGUCUAGAACCAAGCAUUUAUGCUGAGGAAGGCUAAGCAGAAAGAUGAAACAGAGCCUGGGUCCCUGAUGACAUCAGUGAGAGCCAGCCCUGGGCCUUCCCUGAGGGAGGUGAAUUAUGUGAGACAAUGAAACCCUACUACUCAGUCCUCCUGUAGUUGGGUGUUUUGCUCUGCACAGCUGAAAGUCUUCUCAUGGAUACGGAAAUAAACCAGCAUUUGCCAAAUUCCCCAGCAGGGGCGGGGACGCAGUGCCAAGGAGACAGAGAAAUCCGGACUUCCAUGGAGCUUCCGUCAGUAGAGGAGGCUGGUAAUAAACAAGUAAACAAUAA
rnacentral:lncRNA from 1 species